AACCUGGUUGAUCCUGCCAGUAGUCAUAUGCUUGUCUCAAAGACUAAGCCAUGCAUGUCUAAGUAUAAAUGCUAUACAAUGAAACUGCGAAUGGCUCAUUAAAACAGUUAUAGUUUAUAUGGUAAUCGAAUUUACAUGGAUAACCGUGGUAAUUCUAGAGCUAAUACAUGCUGUUAAGCCCAACUUAUGGAAGGGCCGUAUUUAUUAGAUAACAGACCAAUAUUCUUCGUGUCUAUUGUGGUGAAUCAUAGUAACUAAUCGGAGCGUAUGGGCUAGUCCCUCGACAAACCAUUCAAGUUUCUGCCCCAUCAGCUUUCGAUGGUAGUGUAUUGGACUACCAUGGCUUUCACGGGUAACGGAGGAUUAGGGUUCGAUUCCGGAGAGGGAGCCUGAGAAACGGCUACCACAUCUAAGGAAGGCAGCAGGCGCGUAAAAUUACCCAAUUCUGACUCAGAGAGGUAGUGACAAGAAAUAAACGGGCAGGGACAUACCGUCCCUGGACUGCAAUGAACC
rnacentral:rRNA from 1 species